rnacentral:rRNA from 1 species
GAAACGGCUGCUAAUACCGCAUAAGCGCACGGCAUCGCAUGAUGCAGUGUGAAAAACUCCGGUGGUAUAAGAUGGACCCGCGUUGGAUUAGCUAGUUGGUGAGGUAACGGCCCACCAAGGCGACGAUCCAUAGCCGACCUGAGAGGGUGACCGGCCACAUUGGGACUGAGACACGGCCCAAACUCCUACGGGAGGCAGCAGUGGGGAAUAUUGCACAAUGGGCGAAAGCCUGAUGCAGCGACGCCGCGUGAGCGAAGAAGUAUUUCGGUAUGUAAAGCUCUAUCAGCAGGGAAGAUAAUGACGGUACCUGACUAAGAAGCACCGGCUAAAUACGUGCCAGCAGCCGCGGUAAUACGUAUGGUGCAAGCGUUAUCCGGAUUUACUGGGUGUAAAGGGAGCGCAGGCGGUGCGGCAAGUCUGAUGUGAAAGCCCGGGGCUCAACCCCGGUACUGCAUUGGAAACUGUCGUACUAGAGUGUCGGAGGGGUAAGCGGAAUUCCUAGUGUAGCGGUGAAAUGCGUAGAUAUUAGGAGGAACACCAGUGGCGAAGGCGGCUUACUGGACGAUAACUGACGCUGAGGCUCGAAAGCGUGGGGAGCAAACAGGAUUAGAUACCCUGGUAGUCCACGCCGUAAACCAUUAAUGCUAGGUGUUGGGAAGCAUUGCUUCUCGGUGCC